UACAGGGGUUUUGUACGUCAAGUUCCUUCACAUUCUGAACAGCUUGAGGUUUGAGUGGCUCAAUUUUGUGUGGUAGUUCCUUUUGAAAUGUUAGAAAUGGGUGAAGUACAUGAGUAUGAGAGCGAGCAAAAGUUUAUCGAUGAUACGAAAGAACACUUCGGUACCUUUCAUCAAAUUGACUCGGAAGAACAGUUCAUUAGAGAAUUUAUACCAUACCAAGACCUCGAUAUGUUGGUGUACAAGCCAUUUAUUGCGAGAAAUGUAGAUGGUGAUCGGCGUGUUGUCAUAAUCUCCUGGAAGAUGGAAGGAGAUGCAGAUAUUGAAGAAGGGCUACAGGAAUAUGCAAGAAACCUUCCUGUAAUAAAAUGGUUCAUCUGUAAAUGGCCAAGGGCUGAAGGUGGUGUGAGAAUUGGCGACCUAAAAUUAAAGAAUACUCAUCAUCGACUUCUUAUGAUUAGGUACAAGUGAGAUGAUACUGAUGGAACGUUUGUAACAUUUGAAACAGCCAUGCCGUGACGUCGUAUGUGGUUGAUUAUUUUGAAAGUCAUUAUAUUGCAGCACUACCGUGAACCCAUGAACUGGACUGUGCUUUUCGCCACAGCUGUGGCGUGAUGUAAUGACUUUUGAUUUUACCAAUAACCGUAUCGUACUGUGUUGAUAUUAUUAGUCUUCGCUGGUUUGAAUGUUGGCGACAAAACACCACAGCUGUGGCGUUUACAAUGAGUUGUAAUUCUGAAAUUCACGAUGAAUUAAAGAACUAUGGAGGAGUCUACUUGCCCUUUUUGUGAUCGACAAUUAGUAGAAGUCGAUAAUAGUAUGAGAGUUGUUGAGUCAUGCUGUAGUGAACAAGAUAUGGAAAAUAAUAAAGGUAUGAAUGUCUGUUUAAACUGUGGUUCAGUCCAUGGUUAUGAGACUCAGUAUGUUAAUGAGUACAUCAAAUUUUAUGAGGAUAUGUACAAAAUACGACGGAAAUCGGUUUAUCAUCGAAAAUAUCAUUUAUGUAACAAAUCGAUUUUCUGAGUAGCAAAAAUGGAGUUCAAAUUUCCUUUAAGGAUAGAGAUAAAAUAAUUCGGGUUUUUGAAGAGAUAGACAAGAUGCUGCCAAAAAUUAAUGGUAAUCUUAAAAAGGAUGGUAAAUAUUAACUUAAUCCUUAAACAAUUGUGAAUGAUGUUAAAUGAACAUACCUUUGUCAAAAUUGACAUAUUAUAAACAAUAUUGGGCGAAAGUACAGUUAUUGAAUCAGGUGAUAAAAUCCAAUCGAUAAUUAAUAAGUGAAUAUAUUGUCAUAUUUUAGUAAAAAUUUAUCGACAACAGGGCCAUUGUCACA